rnacentral:rRNA from 1 species
UACGGAGGGUGCGAGCGUUGUCCGGAAUCAUUGGGCGUAAAGGGCGCGUAGGUGGCCCGGUCAGUCUUUGGUGAAAGCGCGGGGCUCAACCCUGCGUCGGCCAGGGAUACUGCCGCGGCUCGAGCACUGUAGAGGCAGGCGGAAUUCCGGGUGUAGCGGUGGAAUGCGUAGAGAUCCGGAAGAACACCGGUGGCGAAGGCGGCCUGCUGGGCAGUUUGGCUGACAGCUGAGGCGCGACGAGCGUGGGGAGCAAACAGG